rnacentral:rRNA from 1 species
AUCUUCCGCAUGGACGAAAGUCUGACGGAGCACGCCGCGUGAGUGAUGAAGGUUUUCGGAUCGUAAAGCUCUGUUGUUAGGGAAGAACAAGUGCAAGAGUAACUGCUUGCACCUUGACGGUACCUAACCAGAAAGCCACGGCUAACUACGUGCCAGCAGCCGCGGUAAUACGUAGGUGGCAANCGUUGUCCGGAAUUAUUGGGCGUAAAGGGCUCGCAGGCGGUUUCUUAAGUCUGAUGUGAAAGCCCCCGGCUCAACCGGGGAGGGUCAUUGGAAACUGGGAAACUUGAGUGCAGAAGAGGAGAGUGGAAUUCCACGUGUAGCGGUGAAAUGCGUAAAGAUGUGGAGGAACACCAGCGGCGAAGGCGACUCUCUGGUCUGUAACUGACCCUGAGGANCGAAAGCGUGGGGAGCGAACAGGAUUAAAUACCCUGGUAGUCCCGCCGUAAACGAGGAGUGCUAAUGUUAGGGGGUUUCCCCCCCUUAGUGUUGCAGUUAACCCAUUAACCUCCCCCUGGGGAGUACGUCGCAAGACUGAACUCAAAGGAAUUGACGGGGGCCCGCNCAAGCGGUGGAGCAUGUGGUUUAUUNGAAGCAACGGGAAGNACCUUACCAGGUCUUGACAUNCUUUGACAACCCUAGAGAUAGGGCUUUCCNUUCGGGGACAGAGUGACAGGUGGUGCAUGGUUGUCGUCAGCUCGUGUCGUGAGAUGUUGGGUUAAGUCCCGCAACGAGCGCAACCCUUGAUCUUAGUUGCCAGCAUUCAGUUGGGCACUCUAAGGUGACUGCCGGUGACAAACCGGAGGAAGGUGGGGAUGACGUCAAAUCAUCAUGCCCCUUAUGACCUGGGCUACACACGUGCUACAAUGGACAGAACAAAGGGCUGCGAGACCGCAAGGUUUAGCCAAUCCCACAAAUCUGUUCUCAGUUCGGAUCGCAGUCUGCAACUCGACUGCGUGAAGCUGGAAUCGCUAGUAAUCGCGGAUCAGCAUGCCGCGGGAACUUCCUUU